rnacentral:rRNA from 1 species
UACGGAGGGGGCUAGCGUUGUUCGGAAUUACUGGGCGUAAAGCGCACGUAGGCGGCUUUGUAAGUUAGAGGUGAAAGCCCGGGGCUCAACUCCGGAAUUGCCUUUAAGACUGCAUCGCUAGAAUUGUGGAGAGGUAAGUGGAAUUCCGAGUGUAGAGGUGAAAUUCGUAGAUAUUCGGAAGAACACCAGUGGCGAAGGCGACUUACUGGACAGCAUAU